rnacentral:lncRNA from 1 species
AUUGUAUCUGACUUUGUAAAACUUGGCAAACCUCCAACUCAGAAAAAUGUUUCUGCUUUUUCUGUUAAAAGCAGAAAUACUCUUACACUUUUCCUGAUAGCUGAGAAAAUUAAUCUAAUUUCCAUCCCAAGAAAAAUUAAAUAGCCUGGCCUAAAAUAAUUAAGUUAGUAUAUCAGUGUUAUAUUUUAUAGUAAAAAAAGAAGGACCUGAGAAGGUUUGUCUGUAACACUCACCUUUUCCAUUUCAGCCUUCACACUGACAAGUUUACUUGAAAAUCAAUAUUUUACAUUGAAAAAACCCAGUUCUGUGUCAGUAAUACUCUCAAGCAAUAUAGAUCUUAAAGAAACAUGCCGAGAUGUGGCAGGAGGUUAGUAGAGAAAUCCUUCUCAGUGUGCAGUCUGCAAAUGGACUCCACCCAAAAUCUCCUGAAGUCAAUAGAUAAAUGUUCAUGCUCUUCAUUUGAUAUUGGAUCAAGUCUUAUUUUCAUCUCUGACCAAGAUUACUUUCACAAUUCUGGCCAGUUUCUGGAUUGUCAGUUUCUAAGGGCAGAAAACAAAUAUCCCAUUUGGACAGACACGUCCACAGCUCUCUCCUGUUCACUGAAUUUGCUGGAAUCACAAGUACCUGCACAGCACCCAGGUAGGUGAGUGGAGUCUCCUGG